GUCUUCGCAAUGUAACUUUCCAGAAAGAAAGCCCGAGUAACUGUAAUACAUCACGGAUGCGCUAAUUUGAUGAAGAUGAAAUGAAUGCUCCGUACAUGAACAGUAUUUGACACAGUGUCCUGAUUUGAAGACCUAAAGAGAACGGCGCGGCACUGUUAUUAGAUGACCCGUUAACUGAAGACUAUAUCUUUAGUCAGCGGCUGACCAUCGAAGGGCCUAGCCGAUUGAGUCUGGAAUCGACAGGAGAGAUAAAAUGCGUAUUUCUUGUCUGAAAUAAAGUGACGUCACCCAAAUUUUUUUUUGUUUUGCCGUCAUCGAUCUACGACCACGAAAAUCAGCUAGCCGAAUUCUUCAGUCCGGAAACAACCGCGCGGUAGAGCGGAC
rnacentral:lncRNA from 1 species